rnacentral:rRNA from 1 species
GGUAGUCCACGCCCUAAACGAUGUCAACUAGCUGUUGGGGCCUUCGGGCCUUGGUAGCGCAGCUAACGCGUGAAGUUGACCGCCUGGGGAGUACGGUCGCAAGAUUAAAACUCAAAGGAAUUGACGGGGACCCGCACAAGCGGUGGAUGAUGUGGAUUAAUUCGAUGCAACGCGAAAAACCUUACCUACCCUUGACAUGUCUGGAAUCCCAAAGAGAUUAGGGAGUGCUCGCAAGAGAACCGGAACACAGGUGCUGCAUGGCUGUCGUCAGCUCGUGUCGUGAGAUGUUGGGUUAAGUCCCGCAACGAGCGCAACCCUUGUCAUUAGUCGCUACGAAAGGGCACUCUAAUGAGACUGCCGGUGACAAACCGGAGGAAGGUGGGGAUGACGUCAAGUCCUCAUGGCCCUUAUGGGUAGGGCUUCACACGUCAUACAAUGGUCGGGACAGAGGGUCGCCAACCCGCGAGGGGGAGCCAAUCCCAGAAACCCGAUCGUAGUCCGGAUCGUAGUCUGCAACUCGACUACGUGAAGUCGGAAUCGCUAGUAAUCGCGGAUCAGAAUGUCGCGGUGAAUACGUUCCCGGGUCUUGUACACACCGCCCGUCACACCAUGGGAGUGGGUUCCACCAGAAGUAGUUAGCCUAACCGCAAGGAGGGCGAUUACCACGGUGGGGUUCAUGACUGGGGUGAAGUCGUAACAAGGUAGCCGUAUCGGAAGGUGC